GACGAACGCUGGCGGCGUGCUUAACACAUGCAAGUCGAACGCUGAAGACCUGGCUUUUGUUGGGUUGGCUGAGUGGCGAACGGGUGAGUAACACGUGAGUAACCUGCCCUCUUCUUUGGGAUAACGCCCGGAAACGGGUGCUAAUACUGGAUAUUCACUGAUCUUCGCAUGGGGGUUGGUGGAAAGGUUUGUUCUGGUGGGGGAUGGGCUCGCGGCCUAUCAGCUUGUUGGUGGGGUGAUGGCCUACCAAGGCUUUGACGGGUAGCCGGCCUGAGAGGGUGACCGGUCACAUUGGGACUGAGAUACGGCCCAGACUCCUACGGGAGGCAGCAGUGGGGAAGAUAGCACAAUGGGCGAAAGCCUGAUGCAGCGACGCCGCGUGAGGGAUGGAGGCCUUCGGGUUGUAAACCUCUUUCGCUCAUGGUCAAGCCGCAACUGUGGGUUGUGGUGAGGGUAGUGGGUAAAGAAGCGCCGGCUAACUACGUG
rnacentral:rRNA from 1 species